GACGUAGGUGGCAAGCGUUGUCCGGAGUUAUUGGGCGUAAAGCGCGCGCAGGCGGCUCGGUAAGUCUCUGGUGAAAGCGCUCGGCUUAACUGGGCGAGGGCCGGGGAGACUGCCACGCUGGAGGGGAGCAGAGGCGAGUGGAAUUCCGGGUGUAGUGGUGAAAUGCGUAGAGAUCCGGAGGAACACCAGUGGCGAAGGCGGCUCGCUGGGCGCUGCCUGACGCUGAGGCGCGAAAGCGUGGGGAGCGAACAGG
rnacentral:rRNA from 1 species